GACGAACGCUGGCGGCGUGCUUAACACAUGCAAGUCGAACGGAAAGGCCCUGCUUUUGUGGGGUGCUCGAGUGGCGAACGGGUGAGUAACACGUGAGUAACCUGCCCUUGACUUUGGGAUAACUUCAGGAAACUGGGGCUAAUACCGGAUAGGAGCUCCUGCUGCAUGGUGGGGGUUGGAAAGUUUCGGCGGUUGGGGAUGGACUCGCGGCUUAUCAGCUUGUUGGGGGGGGAGUGGCUUACCAAGGCUUUGGCGGGUAGCCGGCCUGGGAGGGUGACCGGCCACCUUGGGACUGAGAUACGGCCCAGACUCCUACGGGAGGCAGCAGUGGGGAAUAUUGCACAAUGGGCGGAAGCCUGAUGCAGCAACGCCGCGUUCGUGAUGACGGCCUUCGGGGUGUAAACCGCUUUCGCCUGUGACGAAGCGUGAGUGACGGUAAUGGGUAAAGAAGCACCGGCUAACUACGUG
rnacentral:rRNA from 1 species